rnacentral:rRNA from 1 species
AACGCUGGCGGCAGGCCUAACACAUGCAAGUCGAACGGUAACAGGAAACAGCUUGCUGUUUCGCUGACGAGUGGCGGACGGGUGAGUAAUGUCUGGGAAACUGCCUGAUGGAGGGGGAUAACUACUGGAAACGGUAGCUAAUACCGCAUAACGUCGCAAGACCAAAGAGGGGGACCUUCGGGCCUCUUGCCAUCGGAUGUGCCCAGAUGGGAUUAGCUUGUUGGUGGGGUAACGGCUCACCAAGGCGACGAUCCCUAGCUGGUCUGAGAGGAUGACCAGCCACACUGGAACUGAGACACGGUCCAGACUCCUACGGGAGGCAGCAGUGGGGAAUAUUGCACAAUGGGCGCAAGCCUGAUGCAGCCAUGCCGCGUGUAUGAAGAAGGCCUUCGGGUUGUAAAGUACUUUCAGCGGGGAGGAAGGGAGUAAAGUUAAUACCUUUGCUCAUUGACGUUACCCGCAGAAGAAGCACCGGCUAACUCCGUGCCAGCAGCCGCGGUAAUACGGAGGGUGCAAGCGUUAAUCGGAAUUACUGGGCGUAAAGCGCACGCAGGCGGUUUGUUAAGUCAGAUGUGAAAUCCCCGGGCUCAACCUGGGAACUGCAUCUGAUACUGGCAAGCUUGAGUCUCGUAGAGGGGGGUAGAAUUCCAGGUGUAGCGGUGAAAUGCGUAGAGAUCUGGAGGAAUACCGGUGGCGAAGGCGGCCCCCUGGACGAAGACUGACGCUCAGGUGCGAAAGCGUGGGGAGCAAACAGGAUUAGAUACCCUGGUAGUCCACGCCGUAAACGAUGUCGACUUGGAGGUUGUGCCCUUGAGGCGUGGCUUCCGGAGCUAACGCGUUAAGUCGACCGCCUGGGGAGUACGGCCGCAAGGUUAAAACUCAAAUGAAUUGACGGGGGCCCGCACAAGCGGUGGAGCAUGUGGUUUAAUUCGAUGCAACGCGAAGAACCUUACCUGGUCUUGACAUCCACGGAAGUUUUCAGAGAUGAGAAUGUGCCUUCGGGAACCGUGAGACAGGUGCUGCAUGGCUGUCGUCAGCUCGUGUUGUGAAAUGUUGGGUUAAGUCCCGCAACGAGCGCAACCCUUAUCCUUUGUUGCCAGCGGUCCGGCCGGGAACUCAAAGGAGACUGCCAGUGAUAAACUGGAGGAAGGUGGGGAUGACGUCAAGUCAUCAUGGCCCUUACGACCAGGGCUACACACGUGCUACAAUGGCGCAUACAAAGAGAAGCGACCUCGCGAGAGCAAGCGGACCUCAUAAAGUGCGUCGUAGUCCGGAUUGGAGUCUGCAACUCGACUCCAUGAAGUCGGAAUCGCUAGUAAUCGUGGAUCAGAAUGCCACGGUGAAUACGUUCCCGGGCCUUGUACACACCGCCCGUCACACCAUGGGAGUGGGUUGCAAAAGAAGUAGGUAGCUUAACCUUCGGGAGGGCGCUUACCACUUUGUGACUCAU